CACCGUGGGCAAAUUUGACUGGCGGCUGAUUUUUGUGCCACAGCCCCUUCCCUUUGACAGCGAAAUGCACAGAAGGAUAACAUCGCUUGGACUUUUCAAGCUUAGUAAAAGAAGACUUAGGGGAGAUUUGAUUGAGGCUUUUAAAUUUAUUAAAGGGAUUAACAAAGUGAACUACAGGAAAUCAUUCAAGUUGAGUUCGGUGAGCAGAACGAGGGGGCAUAAAUGGAAACUGGCAAAGGGUAAAUUUCACACAGACAUUAGGAAACAUUUUUUCACGCAGACAGUGGUCAAUGUGUGGUAUAGCUUGUCUGGACAUGUAGUGGAGGCAGGAGCUAUUGAACUUGAAAGCAUUUGUCAGCUGUAUUUUUUUCAAAUGUCAAUUUAAAUUCAUAAUUGGAAAUAUUUGUGUAAAAUUGCACGAGGUAAUAAUGCACAAAGCAUAGGCUCUGCAUCUUGUGGCCGUUGUUUGUGAACAAUUUAGCAGUGGUUUGAUGGUCCUAGGCCUUAUCUAGGAGCUAAGCAGCACGUGAAAUAACAUGUCCAUGCAAUACGUAGAUUGUUUACAUAUCUUCGUUUGAUUAUGAAUUCGUUGUAUUGCACUUCCCCCUUCUCCAGGUUAGCGAAUCAAUAGGUGUCAUCGUCAUCUUGAUUUGAUUUUGCAUUCGUUUUAUUUGUUAUGCGUGUUUAAUGUGAGCCCAACUUUGUUCACAGGAAGGUGUAGUUUACAGGGGAGUGCAUCUGUGGAAUCAGUGCAGGGAAGGGUUUGUUUCCCUCUGCCUUAGAGGGAGAGCACCUGCUCUGGAUCUGUGGGGGACACCGGGGCAGAUUCUUUUAGCCAAAUUACCCACAAUUUGUAUUAUCAUUUUAAAAUACAGUGCUGACAUUUUGCACAUUUUUAUUGGUGUGGGAUUUAAGUGGGAGCAUCUGUAUUAAACGGGUAGUAAACCAAUUAAGGAAUGGACUGGCUGAAUAAUUGCAGGGGUACUAGUCAAUAGAUUUUCCUCCCUCUUGUGGACAAAAAAUGCACUCGCAACAGGGUAGCCUGUUGUCCGCGCACCUGCCAUUAAUCACCAUUUAAGCGCAGAAACUCAGCUCUCGGCUAUACAUGCACACUAAAAAUCUGAGCUGAACACGAUUAAGGCAAAACUGCAACGAGGGAAAAUUCUUCUGUAAACCACCUUUAUUAUAUUCAUUAUGGAAGCUGUAGUUUACGGGGGUGUGCAUCAGUGGAAUUGGUGCAGGGAGCUACAGGUGAAGGGUUUGCUUCCCUCUGCUGGACAAAAAAUGGCAUUACAGCAGAGCAAGUCGGGUUUAAAAAGUUCUGCACUCCUUCGUUAUGAUCAAAAAAUAUUUUUUGUAUGAAGAUUUUUAAUGCUGCGCACAAUUCAAAAUAAUAAAUAUCUACUGAAAUUAAAA